rnacentral:rRNA from 1 species
AUACGUAGGGGGCGAGCGUUGUCCGGAAUGACUGGGCGUAAAGGGCGUGUAGGCGGUUGUCUAAGUCUGGAGUGAAAGUCCUGCUUUCAAGGUGGGAAUAGCUUUGGAUACUGGAUGACUUGAGUGCGGAAGAGGUAAGUGGAAUUCCCAGUGUAGCGGUGAAAUGCGUAGAGAUUGGGAGGAACACCAGUGGCGAAGGCGACUUACUGGGCCGUAACUGACGCUGAGGCGCGAAAGCGUGGGGAGCGAACAGGAUUAGAUACCCUGGUAGUCCACGCUGUAAACGAUGAAUGCUAGGUGUAGGGGGUAUCGACCCCUCCUGUGCCGGAGUAAACGCAAUAAGCAUUCCGCCUGGGGAGUACGGCCGCAAGGUUGAAACUCAAAGGAAUUGACGGGG